rnacentral:lncRNA from 1 species
CUACUCGGGAGGCUGAGGCAGGAGAAUGGCGUGAACCCGGGAAGCGGAGUUUGCAGUGAGCCGAGAUUGCGCCACUGCAGUCCGCAGUCCGGCCUGGGCGACAGAGCGAGACUCCGUCUCAAAAAAAAAAAAAAAAAGAAAUUAGUCGGGCGUGGUGGCGGGUGCCUGUAGUCCCAGCUACUCAGGAGGCUGAGGCAGGAGAAUGGCGUGAACCCGGGAGGUGGAGCUUGCAGUGAGCCGAGAUCACACCACUCUACUCCAGUCUGGGCGACAGAGCGAGACUCUAUCUCAAAAAAAAAAAAAAAAAAAGGCAACUGGGCCCCAGGGACUACUACCACCAAGAUGCGGAGACUGGUAGUGGCCCUGAAUGCCUGGCUGUGCUGUUAUUUAUUGUAUACAAGGCCAGGGGACAGGGUAAGGAGUGUCAGUCAUCUCCAAUGAUAGGUAACGGUCAUGUGAGUCACGUGUCCACCAGACGGGGGGGCCCUUCCCUGUUUGGUAGCCAAGGCGGAGAGAGAGGGGGGACAGCGUACGUCAUUAUUUCUUCUAUGCAUUUCUCUGAGAGAUCAAAGACUUUAAUAUUCUCACUAAUUCUGCUACUGCUAUCUAGAAGGCAGAGCCAGGUGUACAGAGUGGAACAUGAAAGUGGACCAGGAGCAUGACCGCUGAAGCACAGCAUCACAGGGAGACGUUUAGGCCUCCGGAUGGCUACAGGCAGGCUUGACUGAUGUCAGGCCUUCCACAAGAGGUGGUGGAGCAGAGUCUUCUCUAACUCCCCAGGGGAAAGGGAGACUACCGUUCCCGGUCUGCUAAGUAAUGGGUAAUGGGUGCCUUCCCAGGCACUGGCGCUACUGCUAGGCCAAGGUCGCUAAGUAACGGGUGCCUUCCUGGGCACUGCCGUUACCGCCCUUUAGUGGCCCUGUCCGGGUGUGACAGAGGGCUCACACUCUUGUCUUCUGGUCACUUCUCACCGUGUCCCUUCAGCUCCUAUCUCUGUAUGGCCUGGUUUUUCCUAGGUUAUAAUUGUAGAGCAGAUAUUAUUAUAAUAUUGGGAUAAAGAGUAAUGCUACAAAGUAAUGAUUGAUAAUAUUCAUAUAAAAUCAUGUCUAUAUUCUAUGUCUAAUAUACCUAUUCUUAUUUUAAGGAUUUUCUUUAUUAUACUGGAACAGCUUGUGCCUUCAGUCUCUCGCCUCAGCAGCUGGGUGGCUUGCCGCCCACACACCUGUAAUCCCAGCACUUAGGGAGGCUGAGGUGGGUGGCUCACCUGAGGUCAGGAGUUCAAGACCGGCCUGGCCAACAUGGUGAAACCCUGUAUCUACUAAAUCUACUAAAAAUAUAACAAAUUAGCUGGGUAUGGUGG